CUUAAUUUGUCCUUCCUGUGCAGCUUGAGCAGAAAGUCUGUUCAUCUAUUUAACUUCUAAGACUGCCAGUGUGCUUUAUAAAUGCAGCCUGAGAAAGAUACGUUCUACAUGCAUACCAACCCAUACUCUUUGGGUCACUGUCAGAUUCUCAGGGAGAGAUGAUCAGUGAGAGAGACUGAACUACAGUGGUGAGCCUUCACGAUGCAGCAUUUCUCACAAACCUGUAGCACUACAGAGGUUACCAUUGCACCGGCAGGUCCUGGAACAAGAGGAUUCCGUCUUGGCAAAGCACAAUGGUUAAAGCAUCUUGAAUACGGUUAUAGUUUUUGUAUGGAGAAAAGACUAACUUGUAUACGAAUGAAUCUACUCAACCCUUCUGAGGCCACAUCUGGAGCACUGUGUCCAGCACUGGGCUCCUCAGUACAAGAGAAAUAUAAUACUACUGGAGACAAUCCAGCAAAGUGACAUAGAGGUGAUGACAUAGAGGUGAUGAAGAGACUGGAGCAUAAACAGCCACUCUGUCCAAAUAAUGUAUGAAGCAUACAGCCACAGACGGUGUAAUACACUUCUGGAGAGUGACUUCCUUUCAGAACUGUGCAGUACAGGGACCAUGAUUUAUUCCUUCCUUCUGAUUUAUUGUCAGAUAACACUGAUUUAAUGCAGGUCUUUUCCACUUAGUGGGAAGAACAACAAAAAUAUAUAUUUGAUAUCCAGUAGAAAAAUAGGUUCUAAAAAUGUCCCUACACCUAAAGCUUGUUUGUUUGUUUGUUUUGUUUGAUUUUCUUUUAAAAAGCUGU
rnacentral:lncRNA from 1 species